rnacentral:rRNA from 1 species
GUCGAACGGCAGCACGGGAGCUUGCUCCUGGUGGCGAGUGGCGAACGGGUGAGUAAUAUAUCGGAACGUACCCUAGAGUGGGGGAUAACGCAGCGAAAGUUGCGCUAAUACCGCAUACGAUCUACGGAUGAAAGUGGGGGAUCGCAAGACCUCAUGCUCAUGGAGCGGCCGAUAUCUGAUUAGCUAGUUGGUGGGGUAAAGGCCUACCAAGGCAUCGAUCAGUAGCUGGUCUGAGAGGACGACCAGCCACACUGGAACUGAGACACGGUCCAGACUCCUACGGGAGGCAGCAGUGGGGAAUUUUGGACAAUGGGGGCAACCCUGAUCCAGCAAUGCCGCGUGAGUGAAGAAGGCCUUCGGGUUGUAAAGCUCUUUUGUCAGGGAAGAAACGGUGAGGGCUAAUAUCCUUUGCUAAUGACGGUACCUGAAGAAUAAGCACCGGCUAACUACGUGCCAGCAGCCGCGGUAAUACGUAGGGUGCAAGCGUUAAUCGGAAUUACUGGGCGUAAAGCGUGCGCAGGCGGUUAUGUAAGUCAGAUGUGAAAUCCCCGGGCUCAACCUGGGAAUGGCAUUUGAGACUGCAUGGCUAGAGUGUGUCAGAGGGGGGUAGAAUUCCACGUGUAGCAGUGAAAUGCGUAGAGAUGUGGAGGAAUACCGAUG